rnacentral:rRNA from 1 species
UACGUAGGGGGCGAGCGUUGUCCGGAUUUAUUGGGUUUAAAGGGUGCGUAGGUGGCUUUUUAAGUCAGGGGUGAAAGACGGUAGCUUAACUAUCGCAGUGCCUUUGAUACUGAAGAGCUUGAAUACACUAGAGGUAGGCGGAAUGUGACAAGUAGCGGUGAAAUGCAUAGAUAUGUCACAGAACACCAAUUGCGAAGGCAGCUUACUAUGGUGCAAUUGACACUGAGGCACGAAAGCGUGGGGAUCAAACAGG